ACGGGUUGUGGGACCCGGAC
rnacentral:miRNA from 1 species